rnacentral:misc_RNA from 1 species
GAUGAAGACGCAGCGAAAUGCGAUAAGUAAUGUGAAUUGCAGAAUUCAGUGAAUCAUCGAAUCUUUGAACGCACCUUGCGCCCUUUGGCCAUUCCGAAGGGCAUGCCUGUUUGAGUAUCAUGAACACCUCAACUCUUUAUGGUUUUCCAUGAUGAGCUUGGACUCUGGGGGUUUUGCUGGCUCACAGUCGGCUCCUCUAAAAUGAAUCAGCUUACCAGUGUUUGGUGAGUAUCAUGGGUGUGAUAACUAUCUACGCUUGUGGUUUUUACACCAGGUAACCUUCAGCAGUGGAGGUUCGCUGGAGCUCAUAGAUGUCUCUCCUCAGUGAGGACAGCCCUUUGAAUGUUUGAUCUCAAAUCAGGUAGGACUACCCGCUGAACUUAAGCAUAUCAAUAAGCGGAGGA